UGCAAGUCGAGCGAACAGACGAGGAGCUUGCUCCUUUGACGUUAGCGGCGGACGGGUGAGUAACACGUGGAUAACCUACCUAUAAGACUGGGAUAACUUCGGGAAACCGGAGCUAAUACCGGAUAACAUGUUGAACCGCAUGGUUCAACAGUGAAAGACGGUCUUGCUGUCACUUAUAGAUGGAUCCGCGCCGCAUUAGCUAGUUGGUAAGGUAACGGCUUACCAAGGCAACGAUGCGUAGCCGACCUGAGAGGGUGAUCGGCCACACUGGAACUGAGACACGGUCCAGACUCCUACGGGAGGCAGCAGUAGGGAAUCUUCCGCAAUGGGCGAAAGCCUGACGGAGCAACGCCGCGUGAGUGAAGAAGGUCUUCGGAUCGUAAAACUCUGUUAUUAGGGAAGAACAAAUGUGUAAGUAACUAUGCACGUCUUGACGGUACCUAAUCAGAAAGCCACGGCUAACUACGUGCCAGCAGCCGCGGUAAUACGUAGGUGGCAAGCGUUAUCCGGAAUUAUUGGGCGUAAAGCGCGCGUAGGCGGUUUUUUAAGUCUGAUGUGAAAGCCCACGGCUCAACCGUGGAGGGUCAUUGGAAACUGGAAAACUUGAGUGCAGAAGAGGAAAGUGGAAUUCCAUGUGUAGCGGUGAAAUGCGCAGAGAUAUGGAGG
rnacentral:rRNA from 1 species